rnacentral:rRNA from 1 species
UCAAGUGUCUUAAGGGUAUUCGGUGGAUGCCUUGGCGCUGAGAGGCGAUGAAGGACGUGGUACGCUGCGAUAAGCCGUGGGGAGGUGCGAACAACCUUUGAUCCGCGGAUUUCCGAAUGGGGAAACCCACCUUCGAUCUCUGCAACUCCGAGUUUCGUACUCGGAUCGUUCGAAAGGACAUUCGAGGCGCGAGCCUCGGAUUUGUAGAGAUCAAAUGAAGGUAUUUAUGUCUGAAUUCAUAGGACAUAAAAGCAAACCCGGGGAACUGAAACAUCUAAGUACCCGGAGGAAAGGACAUCAACGAGACUCCGUUAGUAGUGGCGAGCGAACGCGGACCAGGCCAAUGCUUCCGUUUUUCUAACCUGAACCGAUUGGAAAGUCGGGCCAUAGUGGGUGAUAGCCCCGUAAGGAUUUCGAAAAACGGAAGAUUCGAGUAGGGCGGGACACGUGAAAUCCUGUCUGAACAUGGGGAGACCACUCUCCAAGCCUAAGUACUCCUCAGCGACCGAUAGCGAACUAGUACCGUGAGGGAAAGGUGAAAAGCACCCCGACGAGGGGAGUGAAACAGUUCCUGAAACCGGAUACCUACAAACAGUCGGAGCCCGCAAGGGUGACGGCGUACCUUUUGUAUAAUGGGUCAGCGACUUAAAGUAACGAGCAAGCUUAAGCCGAUAGGCGUAGGCGCAGCGAAAGCGAGUCUGAAUAGGGCGUUCAGUUCGUUGCUUUAGACCCGAAUCCGAGUGAUCUAGCCAUGAGCAGGUUGAAGGUGCGGUAACACGCACUGGAGGACCGAACCGGUGUCUGUUGAAAUAGACUCGGAUGACUUGUGGUUAGGGGUGAAAGGCCAACCAAACUCGGGAAUAGCUGGUUCUCCGCGAAAGCUAUUUAGGUAGCGCCUCGCAUGUAUUCUCCAGGGGGUAGAGCACUGGAUGGGCUAGGGGGUCCCACAGACUUACCAAACCCAACCAAACUCCGAAUACCUGGAAGAACUAUGCGGGAGACACACAGUGGGUGCUAACGUCCAUUGUGGAGAGGGAAACAACCCAGACCAACAGCUAAGGCCCCUAAUUCGUGGCUAAGUGGGAAAGGAUGUAAGAAUCCCAAAACAACCAGGAGGUUGGCUUAGAAGCAGCCAUCCUUUAAAGAAAGCGUAACAGCUCACUGGUCUAAAUAAGGGUUCUCGCGCCGAAGAUGUAACGGGGCUCAAGCCACGAGCCGAAGCUUUGGGUUUGCCCGCAAGGGCAAGCGGUAGCGGAGCGUUCCGUAAUCCGUCGAAGGGAUAGCCGUGAGGCGUCCUGGAGGUAUCGGAAGUGCGAAUGCUGACAUGAGUAACGACAAACACUGUGAAAGACAGUGUCGCCGAAAGUCCAAGGGUUCCUGCGUAAAGUUAAUCUUCGCAGGGUUAGCCGGCCCCUAAGGCGAGGCCGAAAGGCGUAGUCGAUGGGAACCACGUUAAUAUUCGUGGGCCAGCAGGUGGUGACGCGUUGCGGAAGCUGUUCGAGAUUACUGGAUUUCUCGGGCGGCCUAGCGGCGCCAGGAAAUAGCCCCUGCAUGAGACCGUACCCGAAACCGACACAGGUGGACAGGUAGAGUAUACCAAGGCGCUUGAGAGAAUGACGUUGAAGGAACUCGGCAAUCUACCUCCGUAACUUCGGGAUAAGGAGGCCUUUCGUUCGCGCAAGCGGGCGGGAGGGGCACAGACCAGGGGGUGGCAACUGUUUAACAAAAACACAGGGCUCUGCGAAAUCGCAAGAUGACGUAUAGGGUCUGACGCCUGCCCGGUGCCGGAAGGUUAAGAGGAGGAGUGCAAGCUCUGAAUUGAAGCCCCGGUAAACGGCGGCCGUAAAUAUAACGGUCCUAAGGUAGCGAAAUUCCUUGUCGGGUAAGUUCCGACCUGCACGAAUGGCGUAAUGACUUCCCCGCUGUCUCCAACGUCAGCUCAGUGAAAUUGAAUUCCCCGUGAAGAUGCGGGGUUCCUGCGGUCAGACGGAAAGACCCCGUGCACCUUUACUGUAGCUUUGCGCUGGUAUUCGUGACUGUUUGUGUAGAAUAGGUGGUAGACUUUGAAGCUUCGGCGCUAGCCGAGGUGGAGUCGAAAUGUGAAAUACCACCCUAAUGGUUAUGGAUAUCUAACCGCGUCCCCUUAUCGGGGACCGGGACAGCGCAUGGUGGGCAGUUUGACU